rnacentral:rRNA from 1 species
UACGUAGGGUGCAAGCGUUAAUCGGAAUUACUGGGCGUAAAGCGUGCGCAGGCGGUUAUGUAAGACAGAUGUGAAAUGCCCGGGCUUAACCUGGGAACCGCAUUUGUGACUGCAUGGCUAGAGUUUGGCAGAGGGGGGUAGAAUUCCACGUGUAGCAGUGAAAUGCGUAGAUAUGUGGAGGAACACCGAUGGCGAAGGCAGCCCCCUGGGUCAAGACUGACGCUCAUGCACGAAAGCGUGGGGAGCAAACAGG